UNCUAUNCUGCAGUCGAGCGACGGAUAAGGAGCUUGCUCCUUUGAAGUUAGCGGCGGACGGGUGAGUAACACGUGGGUAACCUACCUAUAAGACUGGAAUAACUUCGGGAAACCGGAGCUAAUGCCGGAUAACAUUUGGAACCGCAUGGUUCUAAAGUAAAAGAUGGUUUUGCUAUCACUUAUAGAUGGACCCGCGCCGUAUUAGCUAGUUGGUAAGGUAACGGCUUACCAAGGCAACGAUACGUAGCCGACCUGAGAGGGUGAUCGGCCACACUGGAACUGAGACACGGUCCAGACUCCUACGGGAGGCAGCAGUAGGGAAUCUUCCGCAAUGGACGAAAGUCUGACGGAGCAACGCCGCGUGAGUGAUGAAGGUUUUCGGAUCGUAAAACUCUGUUAUUAGGGAAGAACAAAUGUGUAAGUAACUGUGCACAUCUUGACGGUACCUAAUCAGAAAGCCACGGCUAACUACGUGCCAGCAGCCGCGGUAAUACGUAGGUGGCAAGCGUUAUCCGGAAUUAUUGGGCGUAAAGCGCGCGUAGGCGGUUUCUUAAGUCUGAUGUGAAAGCCCACGGCUCAACCGUGGAGGGUCAUUGGAAACUGGGAAACUUGAGUACAGAAGAGGAAAGUGGAAUUCCAUGUGUAGCGGUGAAAUGCGCAGAGAUAUGGAGGAACACCAGUGGCGAAGGCGACUUUCUGGUCUGUAACUGACGCUGAUGUGCGAAAGCGUGGGGAUCAAACAGGAUUAGAUACCCUGGUAGUCCACGCCGUANACGAUGAGUGCUAAGUGUUAGGGGGUUUCCGCCCCUUAGUGCUGCAGCUAACGCAUUAAGCACUCCGCCUGGGGAGUACGACCGCAAGGUUGAAACUCAAAGGAAUUGACGGGGACCCGCACAAGCGGUGGAGCAUGUGGUUUAAUUCNAAGCAACGCGNNNAACCUUACCAAAUCUUGANNUCCUUUGAAAACUNNANAGNUNNNNNCUUCCCCUUCCGGGGGACAAANUGA
rnacentral:rRNA from 1 species